AACUGCCCCAGUAGUCAAUGCAACAGCUCCUCCAACUGCCCCAGUAGUCAAUGCAACAGCUCCUCCAACUGCCCCAGUAGUCAAUGCAACAGCUCCUCCAACUACCACAGUAGUAAAUGCUACUGUAGCUCCAACCGCUCCGGUAACCUAUUUGACUGAAACACCAAAUAUCCAAGUACCAACUAUCCAAGUACCAACUACCCAAGUGCCAACUACAAAGACAGCCCCAGCAACAGAGGAACCAUUGACCAGCCCUCAACUGUCACUGCAGUUCAGCCUGACAUCUAACUUUACUAGCUCUCUGAGCAACAGCAGUUCACCAGAGUUCCUGGCAUUGGCUAAACAAGUGUCUACACAGCUGGAUAACUUGUUCAAAGCUGAAUUUGGAGACAGAUUUAUUCAAACUGUUGUCAAUAGAUUCUGGUCAGGAUCAAUUGUGGUGGAGUCUACGUUGAUAUUCAACAACAUCAGCUCAGUGCCUAACACUAGCCUGGCAGCACAAACUUUACAAACUGCCAUUACUUCCAACACCUCUGGCCUGACCUUGCCUGUCA